AAUAUUUGACAAUGGGCGAAAGCCUGAUCCAGCCAUGCCGCGUGUGUGAAGAAGGUCUUCGUAUUGUAAAUCACUUUAAGUUGGGAGGAAGGGGUUGAAGCUAAUACCUUCAAUCUUUGAUGUUACCAACAGAAUAAGCACCGGCUACAUCUGUGCCAGCAGCCGCGGUUAUACAGAGGGUGCAAGCGUUAAGCGGAAUUAAUGGGCGUAAAGCGCGCGUAGGUGGUGCAGUAAGAUGGAAGUGAAAUCCCCGGGCUUAACCUGGGAACUGCUUUCAUAACUGCUGAGCUAGAGUACGGUAGAGGGUAGUGGAAUUUCCUGUGUAGCGGUGAAAUGCGUAGAUAUAGGAAGGAACACCAGUGGCGAAGGCGACUACCUGGACUGAUACUGACGCUGAGGCGCGAAAGCGUGGGGAGCGAACA
rnacentral:rRNA from 1 species